UCCCCGGGCCUCCUGCGCCUGCAGCUGGGCCUGGGUACCUGCAGCACCAGCUGCCACGUUCACUGAGGGGAGGGCCCAGGGUCACCUUCCUCACUCCUGGGACCUCCGAAGAUGCAGGCAGGAAGAUCACACAACAGGGCAGGACUGGGGCUCGAGGGCAGGUUCCCAGUGAAGACGGCCCUAUUUCCACUCUGGUGCUAUCACCAAUUAGCCGUGGGAUGCUGGGCUCAUUAGUUAACGGUGACAUUCCCAACCUUCUCCACGUGUGAAAUGCAGCAGCGGUCGUCAAACUCAGAGUCCUCUGGAGAGAGACGGAGACACUGAGGCCCACCCCAGAGUCUGGGACUCCGCAGGUCUGAGUGGGGCCAGAGAUGGGCAUUCCUAACAUGCCCCCAAGGCUGUGCCAAUGCCACUGGGACCCCACUCUGAGAGUCACUGGCUUACGAGGUUGCCAUGAAAUCAGACAAUGUCCCUAAAGUGGCGAACCAAGGGCCGGUACAUAAGGCAGCACCCCUGAACACGAGCAGCUCUCCCCAUUACUGUCACUAUUGCACAGUGAAGAGUCUCCCAGCCGCUCCAGCUCUGGCCCAGCAACCAUGGCUGGUGCCCGUGUCCCCCAUCUCUUACCCAGUGCAGGGGCUCCAGGCUUGGGGCUGAUGUGACAUCACAAACAAAGGUAUCCUCACUUCCCCUCCUACAAAGGAACGGAAACACCUGGGGAAAGGCUGGAUCCCAAGAGGCCCCUGAAACCCUAAGAGCUCACCUGAUUGUUCCAAAGCAACAUUCCCCCCCAUGAACAACUCAGGGACCCCCUCGAUUCACGGCGUGCGGCCCACCAGCAGAGGAAGAGGAGCUUCCAGUCCUGACUCCCACCAGGCGCAGGGGAGCCGAGCUCCUCUUUGGGUGGAUUAAAACAGACUUGGACAGAGUCUGGAAAAACAAACUCUUUUAAAACAAGACAAAGAUUGAGUCUGGCCAACUGGCUAUUUUCAAUCCUUGCUGAACGGAGUCAAGGCAGUUGGUAGUAACAGCUUGUGGCCAACCGCAAUCGUCCUCCCUGCACGAGAGGGUGGAGCCUCCUCGAAGUGACCAGAGCCGGUGACUUCGGGAAUCAACCCUCCCGAAACAGUGCAUGGCCUAGUGAGUCUUUCCGGAACUGCAGAGGGGCAUUUGAGUGUGGAACACGAGUGCUGGGCACCUGGAGGAAUGGAGGUGAGCCCCCCGUCCUGCAGACCCUCACAGAUGGGAAGUAGGAGGAGCACUUGCUGAGCCAUGCCCUCACGCACUCUUGAUCCUUUCAGGAUUCCCCAAAGCUCGCUGGAUGCACAUCCCUUGCGCAGCAGUCCACAUCAUCCGUAUCUCUCACCCCACAGCCGCGGGCUGCCCAGCCAGGUACCUGCCCAGCUGUCUCCACACCCUAAAGCCCACCUGGUACUGCUCCUGGAUUAUUUCUGGGUGUCGGCCCUGUCUUCCCAGGAAUAGCAGGGGUCCUGAAAACAGAGGCAGCCCCAGAAGCCGCCACCUCUCCCAGCACCAACACAGGAGCCUCAGUAACACCCAACCUAGUUCCAAAGAGAUUGUGAGUGGCAGCUGGGUUCACAGUAAUCACUGCAUAACCCAGAAACAUUCAUUAAGCACCUACUGUGUGCUGGGCUAUCCACUAGGCAUUAGGAGAUACAAGACAUAGGGUUGCUGCCCUUAUGGGCGUCUCUCUCAGGUCAGGGAGCAGCCAAAUAAUUGCAAUCGCAACAGUGCCCUAUGAGUGCUGUGACCCAGGGCAGAUCCAGCCCCCACUGAGGCAGGGGCCACCAGGAACACUGUGCCAGGGAAUUCCAAGACCAGAGGCCUUAGGCCAAAUGGCAGCAUGGCAUGGUCUGGAUGGCAGGCUUCAGUGAGUGGCAGAAAGACUGAGGGGAGGGCAGAGCGAGAGAGAGGGAGAAUAGUGUCUCCCACAAAUACAGUCCACUUUCUCCAAACCUGAAGACUCACUUAGAACCUCAUGAUCCAGGAAUCCAUCUGGAGAUGGUGGAAGUCAUGGUUUCCCUGAGAGUCUUUCUGCCUGUUGACUGAGCCAUUGGGGACUGGCUGGACUGCUCCCACCACGCAGCAAAGGAGAGGCGGCUGUUGCCCACUGCAAAGCAGGUGCGCUCAGCAUCCUUCCUUCACACCCUUAGGGCCUGGCGGCAGGAGGUGGGAUGAGAUGCAGACUUCAGCCCCGAGUCUGGCUUACUUCAGGAUCCCUCAGGGCUCUCUCACUUCAGAGGCAGUGUGGGACCCAGGCCACACCUUGUUUGCAGGCCUCGCCUAGAUCGUGGUAACAGCCAGAACUCAACAAUUUCUCCAAGUCAGCCUCCCUGCGGCCCGGAGUGGGGACUGAGCUCAACACGCACCCUCAUCUGUAGGCACGCAGGGACACAGCAAGUCCAGAGUGAGUGCUUAGUGCACAUCAGGCCUUAAGAAUGGGGGUGGAAAUGCAAAGCACCUAGCCAGCUGUGCCGCUCUGUGCAGCCCUGGGAGGAAGCUGGCAUGGUGCUGAUGCAGUUAGCGCUGUUGCACCCUCCUGGUGCUGCAGUUCAUUUGAAUAAAGCCCAUUAGCAUGUGGUGCAGAGGUCUCCAUAUUUCAACAAACUGCUGCCUUGUCAGAUGUCACCUCGAGGGACGAGCUGAUGGAGUCCCUGGCAAACCCAGGACUGGCCGUGGAGUGGGGACGCAGCCUGAACUGCCCCCAAGCCUGUGGCAUUGGCUUGCCCUGUGCAGCCUCCUCCCAUACAGGGGGCAGAUAAUGCCGGGGGAGGAUGCCCCCCAGGUCCACAGCUCUGCAGAGGGCCUGGACCCCACUCUGCCAGUGUGGCGGGCAUCAGAGCCGGGUGGGGCUCUGUGAAGUUAGGGUCAUGGAGAUGGUAUGUAAACCAUGGGACCUGAAGGGAAGACCCCACCCCAGGGUGCACACCCCAGGCACCAUGACACACCCUGGUUGACAGGUCUGGCCAUUGGAGCACUUGGGAGCAGGUGGUCUCUGCAGCCUACCCUGCUGUCCUGCUGAGCACCCAGGUACCCAUGGCACUGGCACAUGACCAAGGACAGACAUCCACGGCGUGGGCUGCCUGGAGCCUCCCAGGCCCCUGGGAGCCCCUCGGCUUAUCAGAGACCAACUCCAGCCCUGAAAGCCCUCAUUUUCUGGGGUCUUCUGGAGCCCCCCAAGGGGAUCACCCAUGCCUCUCCAGGUGGAGAAUGAGGCUCACAUGGAGGAGAAUCUUGGAAGCCCGGACACCCCGCCUGGAGGGAAGCUGCCUGCUGGGGCAGACACCUGGCCUGUCCGGAGCCUAACUGAAUGCCACAGGUCCCAGAGAUUCUCAGCCUGGAGCAGCCUCUGCACUGAGCAGGCCUGGAGUCAGGGGGCUCUGCCCGAGCAGGGACACAGCCCCCCAGGAAGUUGACAACACAGCAGGCCAGAGCGGGGAGGCCUCCGGUGAGGUCCAGCCAUCUCCACUGCAGCAAGGAUAAUAUCUCCUCUCCAGACUGCAGUCAGCCGUGGGCCCGGGGUGUCCUGCUCUGUCACGGGGAGAGGGUCCCAUGAGCAGCAGUGAGGGUCCCCCCAUAGGAGGUUGCCCCCACCCCGCCAAGGCCAGACCAGCAGGGAGGCUCUCCUUGGAGGCAAGGCCCCCGCCUCCUGCUCUUCCUGGGUGACUUUUCCUCCAGAGAGUGGCCGGAAAGGUCACCUCCCCUCCACUCGGGCCUGCUUCAUUGCCGUGAUUACACUUUACGAUCCUUUUAUGAA